AUCCACGUCCUGGCAUAUUAAACCUGGUGUAGGAUACAACCUGGCAUAGAUGACCACCACAAAAAAUGCCAACAAUUAAAGAUUCAGAUCAAAUCUAGUAGAUGGGCAAAAGCAAUUUCUUGCAUAGAAAUCAAUCAUCUAGGAAACAAUAUUGGCAUGCCUCUCCCUCCGUCCUUCGGUCGCUGAUGGUCGACGCUCCCUCCCCGCUCGCCGCUCCCUCCCCGGACGACGAUCCUCUCCGUGACGGGCGGUCCCCGUGCCAUCCCUCUCCCUCCGUCCUUCGGUCGGUGAUCCGUUCCGUGCCGCCGCCGAGCCGCGCCGUGCCCGGACGCACGUCCCCGGCCGCCGGUCCGUCCCCGGCCGCCGAUCUGCGCGCUGUCCCCGGCCCCCGAUCCGCGCGCCGUCCCCGGCGUCGGCGUCGUUGCUGCUCCAUCCCGGUGCCGCAGUUGCCUUGGGAUAGAUUGCAGGACUGAAGCCGCAAGGCUCCGCAUCAUCCACGCAGGGAUGACCUCGCCCCCACAUGUCCUCCUCCCCGGUGCUGCUCUCUGCUUGGCAUGAGAUGCCAACAACCGUGGCCUUAGGAUUUUUGGUGACGCACUGACGUUUGCCUCCAACUCCAAUGAAGCAUUAAGUUCUCCGCUGACCACUGCACACCAGGUGCUUGCGUUUUUGCCAAAACCAUCAUUGAUUUUUUAUUUAGGCUAACCACUAUAAUAUUUUGUAGAAUGGACACUUUAAAUUGGCACGUUAAAUGUGCGGCUAUAUCUACACAAGCUUUGUUAUCCUUGUUCUGCUGCUAUUCUAAAUUAAUUCCAUAUUAUACAUUAUACAGUUCCUUGUGACGUGCUCGGGGGAUGAAGACUUAUCUAUUCUAUAUCACAUUAGAUUACAAUGUCUAUAGUCUCAUUUGGGGGGUCCAAAUCUUGAUAGUAGAAAUUGUGGCUGAUGUGGACUGAUUAUUGAAUACUAGAACAGCAGGAUAGAUCGGCUACUCGCCCUCCCGCAGGAGGCUCUGAGAUGCACUCUUGAUCAAGGUUCAAAAAAUCGCUACGCGCUGUGUGCGCACUCGAGCACGGUAAAAGAGUAAUCGUGAUUAAUCAUUUGUACUACUAUUGCCAAAAAAUAAAAGAAAGAGAUUUUCAAGA